AGACGUCUACAUUAGACUACCCCGGUAGUCCCAGCCGUAAACUAUGCGCGUUAGGUGUAUCGGUGACCACGAGUCACCGAGGUGCCGAAGGGAAACCGUGAAACGUGCCGCCUGGGAAGUACGGUCGCAAGGCUGAAACUUAAAGGAAUUGGCGGGGAGCACCACAACGGGUGGAGCCUGCGGUUUAAUUGGACUCAACGCCGGGAAGCUCACCGGAUAAGACAGCGGAAUGAUUGCCGGGCUGAAGGCUCUGCAUGACUAGCUG
rnacentral:rRNA from 1 species